ensembl:lncRNA
CUUACUUUAUCUAAAUUCUCUUCCCGUCACUUGCAACUGAAAGAGCUCAACAGCAGAAAUUAUAGUGAGAACAAUUGUGGAGCCUCAGCCUGGUUUGGGAUUUCUCUUGAUUGUCUACAGGUUUUUUAAUUACAAGGGAACAAAAUCAAAAGAAAGAACACUAAUUAAUCACUAGGACGACUUAUUUAUUACUGAUGCAAUGUCUGGAAAAAUCAAUUUAUUGCAAAUGUUUCCCGCAGGUUUGCAGGUUUUAGGCAAUUAACAAAAGCUGCUGUAAUUCACACAAAGAGAAUAUUCACUGUGUUGCCAAUAACUCAUUUUGAUAAAUUCGGCCCUGAUUGUCUUGAAUUUUGUGAGAAGUGUGACUUUAAAACUGCCGAGUGGCACAGGCACUAUUUCCAGCAAUGAUCCAUUGAUCUAGAAGCUGAUCACAUAUAGCAUCUACAGGGUGUCAGGGCAACUUCAUGUGUAAGUGAUUCCUUUGGGAGUUGGGUUCUUGUUAAUUAAACAUGAUGAUAUGGAUAUUGGAAAACAGAAACAGCACAUCUUGCAGGAAAUAAAGUUUUUAAAAAAACUCACCACUCUUGAACCUGGUCCUGAACUGUAUAGGGACCAUGGCUGGGCCCUCUUUUUUUUUUUUUUUUCAAUCCUCCUCUUUUUGCUGAGGAAGACUGGCCCUGAGCUAACAUCCGUGCCCAUCUUCCUCUACUUUAUACGUGGGAUGCCUACCACAGCAUGGGUUGCCAAGCGGUGCCACGUCCGCACCCGGGAUCCGAACUGGCAAACCCCAGGCCACCGAAGCAGAAUGUGCGAACUUAACUGCUGUACCACCGGGCAGCCCCUGGGCCCUCUUAUACGUUGCACCAGAGACCUGCACUGGUCCUCAUGCGCAGCUACAUCUCCAGCACCAAGCCCCCUGCAGCCUUGGCUUCUCCAGCAAACAGAGCUCCCAGGUGUCUCUUCUUGGAGGAUGCCCCAGCCAGCCUGCUCCACCUGCCCUGGCCAGGUGGUACAAUAUCCCCCAGCUCUGCCUGCAAGCGGAAUAUGCCCAUUUGUGUAGUUUAGGGCUUGGAAUUAGGCAGAUAACCUUGCUCCCCAAAGAUCCUGCUCCUGUGACCCAGCCUCUCGCAACCCUUGUCCUGUUCCUGGUCCUUGGCUUCCCUGAACUGUAUUGUAGGUGCAUGCACAGUACACACCCCUACAGUAGGCUGCCUGCCCUCCAGGCCUGUGGACCAGGGUUACACUCAACCACCUGCACAGCCUUCAGGGUGGAGGGAGCCCACCCCUCGAAAAUCACUGUCAGGCAGCAGCGGCAAAUUACAGACUGACAGUUCCAUUUGGACUUGCUGCCUGGAUCCGGUCCUGGGCUUCUCUAGCAACCAGGGCUCCCAGGGUCUGUUAAACUGCAGGAGCCUUUUAUUGGGGGCUUCCUCAGGAGUGAGACUACCCCCUCCAGCUGUGCUGAUCCACCUCACCCUACACUGGCAUGCCAUUCCAUGAGGGCAAAUGGAACACCAGGUCCAUGCUUUCUCUGGGUUAACCUCUUGCUUAUGCCAUCACAGUAAGUGUUUAAAGGCUUGAUUGCU